GACGAACGCUGGCGGCGUGCUUAACACAUGCAAGUCGAGCGGUAAGGCCCUUUCGGGGGUACACGAGCGGCGAACGGGUGAGUAACACGUGGGUGACCUGCCUUUAGCUCUGGGAUAAGCCUGGGAAACUGGGUCUAAUACCGGAUAUGACUCCGCGGUGCAUGCUGUGGGGUGAAAGCCUUGUGCGGCUGGAGAUGGGCCCGCGGCCUAUCAGCUUGUUGGUGGGGUGAUGGCCUACCAAGGCGACGACGGGUAGCCGGCCUGAGAGGCGACCGGCCACACUGGGACUGAGACACGGCCCAGACUCCUACGGGAGGCAGCAGUGGGGAAUCUUGCGCAAUGGGCGAAAGCCUGACGCAGCGACGCCGCGUGAGGGAUGACGGCCUCGGUUGUAACCGUA
rnacentral:rRNA from 1 species